AGCAGCCGGUUUUGACUACUCCCCUUCUUCACCAUUUUUAUUUUUUUUUUUCCAUCUUCUUCCCCUUCAACCAGCAAAUCCAAGCCCUGACCCGAAGCCACAAAAAAAUAAAAAUCCUCUCCCUUCUCCUCCAAAACCGAACAGCCCCCUCACCGUUUUCAUUUUUCUUUUCUUCCCCAAACCAGCACCACCCACAACGCCGAUCUUCCUCUCAUCAGCACCGGACCACCCCCUUCCACCUCUGUCUCUCGUCCCUGACUCUCAACCUCUCCCAAACAGCAGCAAACCGAACCAGCCUCUCAUUUUUCUUCUCCUCCCUCACCUGGCCGAACUCCAGCUCCUCUAGCAGCGGCGGUCAGAGAAAUCAACCACAGACCAGCGGCCACAGCCCCCUCGUCUCCAUCCAGUGCUUUCUCCUUCAAUCGACCGCCAUCAGCAACACCACAGACCUUCCCAUCUUCGGCCCCCCGCAGCAGCUCCAGCCUCCAUUCCUCCGCCUCAACGCCGCCAUCAACCUCGCCUCAGCAGCAGCGUCGGUCCAUCCCAUCAGCGCCGUCCACUCCAUCAACCGCAGCAGCUUCCCAGUCAUCGGCGGCCACCAAAAGAGAAGAGAAGAAAACCGAAGCCGAUCUGCCAAGAAGAAAAGACAGAAGCCGAUCUGCCAAAAAAAGGAACCGAAGCAGAUUUUAGAACAAAGACAAAAAUUAAAAUCGACUGUGUUGUGCUUUUUCUGUUAUUGUAGGUAACGGCGGUCCUCACCGCCGGCGUUGGGAGGCUGAGAAGAGGGAGUCGAUCCAGCCCCCUUGCUGUUGGGUUUUCUUGUGGCGGCGCG
rnacentral:lncRNA from 1 species